UAGUCCACGCCGUAAACGAUGGAUACUAGCUGUUCGGACUUCGGUCUGAGUGGCUAAGCGAAAGUGAUAAGUAUCCCACCUGGGGAGUACGUUCGCAAGAAUGAAACUCAAAGGAAUUGACGGGGGCCCGCACAAGCGGUGGAGCAUGUGGUUUAAUUCGAUGAUACGCGAGGAACCUUACCAGGGCUUAAAUGUAGUCUGACAGGGCCAGAAAUGGCUUUUUCUUCGGACGGAUUACAAGGUGCUGCAUGGUUGUCGUCAGCUCGUGCCGUGAGGUGUCAGGUUAAGUCCUAUAACGAGCGCAACCCCUUUCUUUAGUUGCCGGCGAGUAAUGUCGGGGACUCUAAAGAUACUGCCUGUGUAAGCAGAGAGGAAGGAGGGGACGACGUCAAAUCAUCAUGGCCUUUAUGCCUAGGGCUACACACGUGCUACAAUGGUAGGGACAAAGAGCUGCAAACCUGCGAAGGUAAGCGAAUCUCAAAAACCCUAUCUCAGUUCGGAUUGAAGUCUGC
rnacentral:rRNA from 1 species